rnacentral:rRNA from 1 species
UACGUAGGGUGCGAGCGUUAAUCGGAAUUACUGGGCGUAAAGCGUGCGCAGGCGGUUUUGCAAGCCGGAUGUGAAAUCCCCGGGCUCAACCUGGGAAUGGCAUUCGGGACUGCAAGGCUGGAGUGCGGCAGAGGAGACUGGAAUUCCUGGUGUAGCAGUGAAAUGCGUAGAUAUCUGGAGGAACACCGGUGGCGAAGGCGGGUCUCUGGGCCGUAACUGACGCUGAGGAGCGAAAGCGUGGGGAGCGAACAGG